ACAGCAGCCGCCGCGGGAAUACGGAGGGUGCAAGCGUUAUCCGGAUUCACUGGGUUUAAAGGGUGCGUAGGCGGGCAGGUAAGUCAGUGGUGAAAUCUUCGAGCUUAACUCGGAAACUGCCGUUGAUACUAUCUGUCUUGAAUAACGUUGAGGUGAGCGGAAUAUGUCAUGUAGCGGUGAAAUGCUUAGAUAUGACAUAGAACACCGAUUGCGUAGGCAGCUCACUAAACGCUCAUUGACGCUGAGGCACGAAAGCGUGGGGAUCAAACAGGAUUAGAUACCCGUGUAGUCCCUGUCUCUUAUAC
rnacentral:rRNA from 1 species